GUGGGGAAUAUUCCGCAAUGGACGAAAGUCUGACGGAGCAACGCCGCGUGAGUGAUGAAGGUUUUCGGACUGUAAAGCUCUGUUGUUUAGGACGAAAGUGCCUGUUGCAAAUAGUUACAGGUAUUGACGGUACUGAACGAGGAAGCCACGGCUAACUACGUGCCAGCAGCCGCGGUAAUACGUAGGUGGCAAGCGUUGUCCGGAAUUAUUGGGCGUAAAGAGCAUGUAGGCGGGAAUCUAAGUCUGUUGUGAAAAUGCGGGGCUCAAGCCCGUAUUGCGAUGGAAACUGGGUUUCUUGAGUGCAGGAGAGGAAAGGGGAAUUCCCAGUGUAGCGGUGAAAUGCGUAGAUAUUGGGAGGAACACCAGUGGCGAAGGCGCCUUUCUGGACUGUGUCUGACGCUGAGAUGCGAAAGCCAGGGUAGCGAACGGGAUUAGAAACCCCGGUAGUCC
rnacentral:rRNA from 1 species